rnacentral:pre_miRNA from 1 species
AAGGGUUGGGGUUUCAGAAAGCAGUGCUCUUGGGACAUCUCCACCAUGGCCUGGGCUAUUGCCCUCCUCACCCUUCUCAUUUGGGACACCGGUGA